rnacentral:sRNA from 1 species
AGUGGCGCGCCCAUUGGUCUAUGGACCGCAGGCGGCAGGGCGGACUAU